UACAGAGGGUGCAAGCGUUAGGCGGAAUCACUGGGCUUAAAGCGCGUGUAGGUGGACGGGUAAGUAUCUUGUGAAAUCCCACAGCUCAACUGUGGAACUGCUGGAUAUACUGCUUGUCUUGAGGCAUUCAGGGGCAACCGGAACAAAUGGUGGAGCGGUGAAAUGCGUAGAUAUCAUUUGGAACGCCUAUGGUGAAAACAGGUUGCUGGGGAUGUUCUGACACUGAGACGCGAAAGCCAGGGGAGCAAACGGG
rnacentral:rRNA from 1 species